rnacentral:rRNA from 1 species
AACACAUGCAAGUCGAACGGCAGCACGAACUUCGGUUUGGUGGCGAGUGGCGCACGGGUGCGUAACGCGUAUAGAACUUACCCUCUACAGGGGGAUAGCCCGGAGAAAUUCGGAUUAAUACCCCGUAGUAUUAUAGUCUGGCAUCGGAUUAUAAUUAAAGCUGAGGCGGUAGAGGAUGGCUAUGCGUCCUAUUAGUUAGUAGGUGAGGUAACGGCUCACCUAGGCAUCGAUAGGUAGGGGCCCCGAGAGGGGGAUCCCCCACACUGGUACUGAGACACGGACCAGACUCCUACGGGAGGCAGCAGUGAGGAAUAUUGGACAAUGGUCGAGAGACUGAUCCAGCCAUGCCGCGUGCAGGAAGACGGCCCUAUGGGUUGUAAACUGCUUUUGUACGGGAAGAAUAAUGCCCACGUGUGGGCAGAUGACGGUACCGUACGAAUAAGGACCGGCUAACUCCGUGCCAGCAGCCGCGGUAAUACGGAGGGUCCGAGCGUUAUCCGGAAUCAUUGGGUUUAAAGGGUCCGUAGGCGGAUCAGUAAGUCAGGGGUGAAAGUUUGCGGCUCAACCGUAAAAUUGCCUUUGAUACUGCUGGUCUUGAGUUACGAUGAAGUGGCCGGAAUAUGUGGUGUAGCGGUGAAAUGCAUAGAUAUCACAUAGAACACCGAUUGCGAAGGCAGGUCACUAAUCGUGGACUGACGCUGAUGGACGAAAGCGUGGGGAGCAAACGGGAUUAGAUACCCCGGUAGUCCACGCCGUAAACGAUGGACACUAGCUGUCGGGCUUUAAAGUUCGGCGGCCAAGCGAAAGUGAUAAGUGUCCCACCUGGGGGAGUACGUUCGCAAGAAUGAAACUCAAAGGAAUUGACGGGGGCCCGCACAAGCGGUGGAGCAUGUGGUUUAAUUCGAUGAUACGCGAGGACUUACAGGCUUAAAUGUAGUGGGACAGCUAGAGAUAGCUUUUUCUUCCGACUCAAUACAGUGCUGCAUGAUUGUCGUCAGCUCGGGCCGUGAGGGUGUCAGUUAAGUUCCUAUUAAACGAGGCCGCCAA